GGUACCUUAACUCAGUUGGUAGAGUGCUCGACUGAAAAUCGGGUUACCCUGGUUCGAUUCCAGGAGGUACCA
rnacentral:tRNA from 1 species